rnacentral:rRNA from 1 species
UGGCGCACGGGUGAGUAACGCGUGGGUAACCUGCCCUUAAAUUUGGGAUAACUUCGCGAAAGCGGGGUUAAUACCGAAUAAUAUUCCAAUGCCUUUGGGAAUUGGAAUCAAAGAUGGCCUCUGCAUGCAAGCUAUCGUUUAAGGAUGGGCCCGCGUACCAUUAGCUUGUUGGUAGGGUAAUAGCCUACCAAGGCAACGAUGGUUAGCUGGUCUAAGAGGAUGGCCAGCCACACUGGAACUGAGACACGGUCCAGACUCCUACGGGAGGCAGCAGUGGGGAAUCUUGCGCAAUGGGGGAAACCCUGACGCAGCAACGCCGCGUGGGUGAUGAAGGCUCUCGGGUCGUAAAGCCCUGUCAGGUGGGAAGAAACUUGUGGAUGUUAAUACCAUCCAUACUUGACGGUACCACCGGAGGAAGCACCGGCUAACUCCGUGCCAGCAGCCGCGGUAAUACAGAGGUGACAAGCGUUGUUCGGAAUUAUUGGGCGUAAAGCGCGUGUAGGCGGUUUGUUAAGUCAGAUGUGAAAGCCCAGGGCUUAACCCUGGAAGUGCAUUUGAAACUGGCGAACUUGAGUACGGGAGAGGGUAGUGGAAUUCCGAGUGUAGAGGUGAAAUUCGUAGAUAUUCGGAGGAACACCGGUGGCGAAGGCGGCUACCUGGACCGAUACUGACGCUGAGACGCGAAAGCGUGGGGAGCAAACAGGAUUAGAUACCCUGGUAGUCCACGCCGUAAACGAUGGGUACUAGGUGUUGUUGGGUAUUGACCCCUACAGUGCCGCAGCUAACGCAUUAAGUACCCCGCCUGGGGAGUACGGCCGCAAGGUUGAACUCAAGGAAUUGACGGGGCCCGCACAGCAGUGAGUAUGUGGUUUAUUCG